AGUGAACGCUGGCGGUAGGCCUAACACAUGCAAGUCGAACGGCAGCACAGUGAGAGCUUGCUCUUACGGGUGGCGAGUGGCGGACGGGUGAGGAAUACAUCGGAAUCUACUUUUUCGUGGGGGAUAACGUAGGGAAACUUACGCUAAUACCGCAUACGACCUACGGGUGAAAGCAGGGGAUCUUCGGACCUUGCGCGAUUGAAUGAGCCGAUGUCGGAUUAGCUAGUUGGCGGGGUAAAGGCCCACGAAGGCGACGAUCGGUAGCUGGUCUGAGAGGAUGAACAGCUAGACGGUAUCUGAGGAUCGUCCCCCACACUUGCGCGAGGCCGCGGUGCGGAAUAUUAGGCGAGGGAGGCGAGCGUGAUACAGCACUAUGGGGUGGGGGAUGAAGCAGCUAGGGUGGGAGAGCCAUGAUGGUGGUAGAGAAGAGAAGCACUUUUACCCCGGGCGGUAAUGACGGUACCGAAAGAAUAAGCACCGGCUAACUUCGUG
rnacentral:rRNA from 1 species